CCGAAGCUGCGGCAGCGACACUGUGUGUUGUUGGGUAGGGGAGCGUUCUGUAAGCCUGUGAAGGUGUGUCGUGAGGCAUGCUGGAGGUAUCAGAAGUGCGAAUGCUGACAUAAGUAACGAUAAAGCGGGUGAAAAGCCCGCUCGCCGGAAGACCAAGGGUUCCUGUCCAACGUUAAUCGGGGCAGGGUGAGUCGACCCCUAAGGCGAGGCCGAAAGGCGUAGUCGAUGGGAAACGGGUUAAUAUUCCCGUACUUGGUGUUACUGCGAAGGGGGGACGGAGAAGGCUAUGUUGGCCGGGCGACGGUUGUCCCGGUUUAAGCGUGUAGGUGUGUGUUCCAGGUAAAUCCGGUUCACUUUAACACUGAGGCGUGACGACGAGGCACUACGGUGCUGAAGCAACAAAUGCCCUGCUUCCAGGAAAAGCCUCUAAGCAUCAGGUAACAUCAAAUCGUACCCCAAACCGACACAGGUGGUCAGGUAGAGAAUACCAAGGCGCUUGAGAGAACUCGGGUGAAGGAACUAGGCAAAAUGGUGCCGUAACUUCGGGAGAAGGCACGCUGACACGUAGGUGAAGUGAUUUACUCAUGGAGCUGAAGUCAGUCGAAGAUACCAGCUGGCUGCAACUGUUUAUUAAAAACACAGCACUGUGCAAACACGAAAGUGGACGUAUACGGUGUGACGCCUGCCCGGUGCCGGAAGGUUAAUUGAUGGGGUCAGCGCAAGCGAAGCUCCUGAUCGAAGCCCCGGUAAACGGCGGCCGUAACUAUAACGGUCCUAAGGUAGCGAAAUUCCUUGUCGGGUAAGUUCCGACCUGCACGAAUGGCGUAAUGAUGGCCAGGCUGUCUCCACCCGAGACUCAGUGAAAUUGAACUCGCUGUGAAGAUGCAGUGUACCCGCGGCAAGACGGAAAGACCCCGUGAACCUUUACUAUAGCUUGACACUGAACAUUGAGCCUUGAUGUGUAGGAUAGGUGGGAGGCUUUGAAGUGUGGACGCCAGUCUGCAUGGAGCCGACCUUGAAAUACCACCCUUUAAUGUUUGAUGUUCUAACGUGGACCCGUUACCCGGGUUGCGGACAGUGUCUGGUGGGUAGUUUGACUGGGGCGGUCUCCUCCUAAAGAGUAACGGAGGAGCACGAAGGUUGGCUAAUCCUGGUCGGACAUCAGGAGGUUAGUGCAAUGGCAUAAGCCAGCUUGACUGCGAGCGUGACGGCGCGAGCAGGUGCGAAAGCAGGUCAUAGUGAUCCGGUGGUUCUGAAUGGAAGGGCCAUCGCUCAACGGAUAAAAGGUACUCCGGGGAUAACAGGCUGAUACCGCCCAAGAGUUCAUAUCGACGGCGGUGUUUGGCACCUCGAUGUCGGCUCAUCACAUCCUGGGGCUGAAGUAGGUCCCAAGGGUAUGGCUGUUCGCCAUUUAAAGUGGUACGCGAGCUGGGUUUAGAACGUCGUGAGACAGUUCGGUCCCUAUCUGCCGUGGGCGCUGGAGAACUGAGGGGGGCUGCUCCUAGUACGAGAGGACCGGAGUGGACGCAUCACUGGUGUUCGGGUUGUCAUGCCAAUGGCACUGCCCGGUAGCUAAAUGCGGAAGAGAUAAGUGCUGAAAGCAUCUAAGCACGAAACUUGCCCCGAG
rnacentral:rRNA from 1 species